AAAAAUAAGGGAUUGGGGUGGUUAUCAAAUAUUCUGUUAAUUUUUUUUCCUUUUUUACUUUUCCCAAAAUCCCUCCACCCUUUUACCGUUUUUCUCUUCAUUGCUGCCAAAUUUCUACUGUUUUUAACCCUUCAUCUUCUUAAUUUUUCUUUUCCCACUCUACCUCAUUCCGCUCCACGUUUGUCUGCGAUAGUUUGAU
rnacentral:lncRNA from 1 species